GUACACUCCUACGGGAGGCAGCAGUGGGGAAUAUUGGACAAUGGGCGCAAGCCUGAUCCAGCCAUGCCGCGUGAGUGAUGAAGGCCCUAGGGUUGUAAAGCUCUUUCACCGGUGAAGAUAAUGACGGUAACCGGAGAAGAAGCCCCGGCUAACUUCGUGCCAGCAGCCGCGGUAAUACGAAGGGGGCUAGCGUUGUUCGGAUUUACUGGGCGUAAAGCGCACGUAGGCGGACUAUUAAGUCAGGGGUGAAAUCCCGGGGCUCAACCCCGGAACUGCCUUUGAUACUGGUAGUCUUGAGUUCGAGAGAGGUGAGUGGAAUUCCGAGUGUAGAGGUGAAAUUCGUAGAUAUUCGGAGGAACACCAGUGGCGAAGGCGGCUCACUGGCUCGAUACUGACGCUGAGGUGCGAAAGCGUGGGGAGCAAACAGGAUUAGAUACCCUAGUAGUCCC
rnacentral:rRNA from 1 species